rnacentral:rRNA from 1 species
UAGCGAAGGGGGCUAGCGUUGCUCGGAAUCACUGGGCGUAAAGCGCACGUAGGCGGCUUUCUAAGUCAGGGGUGAAAUCCUGGAGCUCAACUCCAGAACUGCCUUUGAUACUGGAGAGCUAGAGUCCGGAAGAGGUGAGUGGAACUGCGAGUGUAGAGGUGAAAUUCGUAGAUAUUCGCAAGAACACCAGUGGCGAAGGCGGCUCACUGGUCCGGUACUGACGCUGAGACGCGAAAGCGUGGGGAGCAAACAGG